AUUAUUUUUAGAGCAUGAUUUAGAAAUGUUAUUAGGAGGGACUGCAAUUUCCAGAAUCCCUCAGGCAACAUAAUCAUUGUCCAGCUUGUUUGGUGUGUUUAGGGAGUUUGUAGAACAAAACAUAACUUUCCUAAACUUUGGUUUAGAGAUAGUGAAUGGUGCAAUCUCAGCCAAUAAACUCAAUGGCCACACAGGCCUCCCUACUUGACACAGAGCACUUGAUCUAUUAUAAUAUCAUGGUAAUUUCAAAUAUAUUCAAAAAUAGAACAUUACUUAAAGUGGAGGUUGAUGCAUGGGAAAUCAAAUGAUUCAAAGAAGACCUAUAAGGAAGAUAAGGGUAAGUGUGUCUGGGAUAGUAAUUAUAGACUGAACUGUAAGCCAGCUUUAAACUCCCAGUUCAAAUCUUCCCUCAGCUAUAAAACCACUGGAUGGCCUACAGUAAACCACUAUCUUUCUGCCUCAGCCACCCACCUGAACUAUGAAGAUAAGCAUGGCGGGUUGCCUUACAGCAUUAUUUUAAGGAUUACUGAGGUGCCCCAUGCCCCAUACUGUUUUCGGAAAGAUUCUUCCCGAAACGGAAACAGAACCCAGGGUUCCAAAUUAUGAAUCUGAAUGCCUGUUGUACUAGAGUCCUGAAACACCUUUUCACCACAAACCACACUCUGUCCAGGUAGAGAUGCUUUAAAAUGGCAAAUGACAAUGGAGUGGGAAUCCUAUUUGUCCAAUUGCAAUCAUGAUGAUGAUGUCUUCGUGUGAGCAGUCCUGGGAUGCCCAGUAAUGCUCCUUUGCUUCUGCUAUUACCAUUUGAACACCACAGAAGAAGGAUUGGUAAUUUAUGUUCUUACCAUUUCCUAAAUUGAACAAUUUUGAAAUUAUGCUAAUUUCUAAAGGAAGCGGAAUGGACAAAAAAUGUGUGAUGGGGAUAAGGAUAAACAUUUGUUUAAUUUCACAAUGGGGCAUCCUGAAGUACCCUAUCCCCCCACUCCUGCCUGCUUUUCUACUCUCGUGGGAUGAAGCCCUAAGUGUAUAAAAUAUGUUUCCUGGAUUUUUUUAAUAUAUCUUUAAUCGAUGGAAAAGGAACAACUUGGUGUUUUUGAUACAUGACUGAGACUUGUCCAUUAAACUCUGCCCCCCUCCCCCAUCCCAACUGACACUAGGAGGACAAUAUGCAUUUCCUGUUAUUUGUUUUAAUAAUACACUGGCACAUAUUCAAUCCAAAAAGCCAGUACAAAACCUAUAUAUACAGUAGAGUCUAACUUAUCCAACACUUGCUUAUCCAACGUUCUGGAUUAUCCAACGCAUUUUUGUAGUCAGUGUUUUCAAUACAUCAUGAUAUUUUGGUGCUAAAUUCGUAAAUACAGUAAUUACU